GGACAGAAAGACCCUAUGAAGCUUUACUGUAACUUGAAAUUGGUUUCGGGUCUUAUUUGCGCAGUAUAGGUGGGAGGCUUUGAUGUUUUUCUUCCGGGAUUAAUUGAGCCAUCAGUGAGAUACCACUCUGAUAAGACUAGAAUUCUAACCUUGUAUCGUUAGCCGGUCAAGGGACAGUUUCAGGCGGGCAGUUUGACUGGGGCGGUCGCCUCCCAAAAAGUAACGGAGGCGUGCAAAGGUUUCCUCAGAUCGGACAGAAAUCGAUCGAAGAGUGCAAAGGCAAAAGGAAGCUUGACUGUAAGACUUACAAGUCGAACAGAGACGAAAGUCGGUCUUAGUGAUCUGGCGAUAUUGAGUGGAAAAGUCGUCACUCAACGGAUAAAAGUUACUCUAGGGAUAACAGGCUGA
rnacentral:rRNA from 1 species